GAAGGAGAAAAGAUGGAAAGUCCUAUCUUGAUCACCAUCCUGAUCUCGAAAUGCAGCUCUUACAAUUCCAAGAUGAUAAACCCAAAUGUUUGAACCUAUUAAGAGGUUUCUUCUUUUGGCUUCAGAAUUUUCUGCAGGAUGGAUCAUUUCAACCUUGGCAAGAUGCAGAAUGCCUCGCUAUCAACCCAGAAUCUUGUUAAGACUUCCUAUCCUGACAUUGCCCAUAUAUGGAGAUGAUGGCCUAAAACAUGGAAAAUGCUUUUGGCUGACAAUUUUGAACCCAAAGUUUCAAGUGAGCCAUAUGUUGUAAAGAACUCAUUCUACUGCUGCAAUUUGCAUGUUCCAAUAGACAGAUUAUAUGGAGAAUUUUAUUUGUGACUAACCAAAAUGUGAUAUAUUACUGGUCGCUACAUUUGA